rnacentral:rRNA from 1 species
UACGUAGGAUGCAGGCGUUGUCCGGAAUUAUUGGGCGUAAAGAGCGCGCAGGCGGUAUGACAAGUCAGAUGUGAAAGAGGCCGGCUUAACCGGCAAGGGUCAUUUGAAACUGUCAGACUAGAGUGCAGCAGAGGAUAGUGGAAUUCCCGGUGUAGUGGUGAAAUGCGUAGAUAUCGGGAGGAACACCAGUGGCGAAGGCGACUAUCUGGGCUGCAACUGACGCUGAGGAGCGAAAGCGUGGGGAGCGAACAGG